UACAGAGGGUGCAAGCGUUAAUCGGAAUGACUGGGCGUAAAGGGCACGUAGGCGGAUAGAUGUGUCAUAGGUGAAAUCCCCGGGCUUAACCUGGGAACUGCCUGUGAAACUGUGUAUCUAGAAUAUAGUAGAGGGAAGUGGAAUUUCCGGUGUAGCGGUGAAAUGCGUAGAUAUCGGAAAGAACACCAGUGGCGAAGGCGACUUCCUGGACUAAUAUUGACGCUGAGGUGCGAAAGCGUGGGGAGCAAACGGG
rnacentral:rRNA from 1 species